GGUGGGUUGGCUCAGUGGUUAGAGCGUAGGUCUCGUAACAGAAAGUUCGCGGGAUCGAAUCCCGUUAGAGGCUG
rnacentral:tRNA from 1 species